rnacentral:rRNA from 1 species
GAUGAACGCUGGCGGCGUGCCUAAUACAUGCAAGUCGAGCGAACAGACGAGGAGCUUGCUCCUCUGACGUUAUCGGCGGACGUGUGAAUAACACAGGGAUAACCUACCUAUAAGACUGGGAUAACUUCGGGAAACCAGAGCUAAUACCGGAUAAUAUAUUGAACCACAAGGUUCAAUAGUAAAGUACGGUUUUGCUGUCACUUAUAGAUGGAUCCUCGCAGCAUUAGCUAGUUGGGAAGGUAACGGUUUACCAAGGCAACGAUGCGUAGCCGACCUGAGAGGUGGACCGGCCACCCUGGACCUGAGAACCGGUCCAGAUUCUUACGGGAGCAACAAGAAGGGAAUCUUGCGCAAUGGGCGAAAGCCUGACGGAGAACCGCGGCGUGAGUGAUGAAGGUCUCCGGAUCUUAAAACUUUGUUAUUAGGGAAGAACAAAUGUGUAAGUAACUAUGCACGUCUUGACGGUAUCUAAUCAGAAAGCCACGGCUAACUACGUG